GAGCAAAGGGGCCGGAUAAAGUGCCGAUCUUUGCAUUGAAGGUUGGCGGCCGCGAUUGCAGUUCUCCAUGCCGCUCAGAUUUUCCUAUGUUUUGUGACGGCCUCGAACAAGCUGCUACAUC
rfam:Oryza sativa (indica cultivar-group) chromosome 12, whole genome shotgun sequence.